ACGCUAGGACGCUACGACCACAGUUUUUUUCCGAAUGAAUCAAUCGAGAGCUGGUCUGCGGCGGGCGGUUCGGAAUCUGGACGGCUCGAGGCGAGCGGCGAGGGACUUGGGCGGUGGGCGAGCGACUGCAGCUGCGGAUUACGCCGGUGGCCGGCCCCGGUGGCUAGGCGAGCGGCCCGUGGUCUCAGCGGCGUCAUGGCCGGCGGGCGCUGGUUGCGGACAUCGGCGAGCGGCUCAACGCGGCGACUGGUGGUGAGAGGGUGAGCGACGGGCGACGGGCGGCGGGAGCGUGAGCGGCAGGCGUUGAGCAGAUGGCCUCGGUUGCGUGCGUUUCUGCGGUUCAUCUCGUCGUCCGGUGGCGGCGGUUGGACUGUCGGCGGCAUCAUCUUCGUGGGAGGACAGCCGGAUUCUAGCAGCAACCUGAGCAUGGACUCGCGUUGUUGCCGCGGCUGGAGAAGCGGCAUCUCGUGCGUGUUCGUCACCGGAUUGGAUCGAGUAGGGCGGACUCCCCGCGAUCUCGUUCUCCACCAGCACCUGAGUUCUCAGACCUCCACUAGCCUCUGAAAUCGACCUCGACCUCUGUACCUUCAGAUCCAACCUUCGACCCGAUCUCAAGAUCCCGUUCAAGUUCUCCAACCUUCAGCUGCCUCCCAGGAUUCUCCCAAAAAAAGCAAGGGACUUAGAGACGAAGAGCAAGUAUCUAGAGCCAAUGUUGCAGAGCCAAACAAAUGUCAGCGUUUGUGUUCUUGUUGUAGCUAGCCUGGUGUCGCCCGAGCUGAACCUCCAUGAGCAUGGGUACCCCCAUAAGGCAGAGUUCGUGACCACUCUGUUGAAGGUUGAUUUUCCCUUGUGUCUUUCUUUCUCACCCUGCAUUUGAUUAUAACCAAAUUUUCAACCUCUCAGCUAUCUUCUUUCAACUGUGCCAUUGAGUGAAGUACUCAUCUUACCUCUGAACUGAUGGAUAUUCUAUACAUAUGGCCUAGCGACAAACCGACGACAACUAUUGUUUUGGCAUGGCACCGAUGGCUGUUUGAGGCAUGAAGCGGUCAGUCCAGAGGACUGCGGCCAGGAUGAUGGCCUUUGUCCCUACGGCGUGAUUAGAAACAAAAGGUCAAACUUUUUCGCACUGUUUAUUUUCUUUUGGUACUUCUUUGGACUACAUGGCAUUCAUCCUCUUCCUAUCUACAUUCUUCUUGUGUUGUUGCAUGGAUUUGUUGAAUAGCAAGUGGCAAGAAGAGCACACAUUAGGGGAUUUGUCGAAUAGAAAAUAUGCUACGUCUAGUGGUGACUCUUGUGAUUUUAGUUACUCCCCCCGAUGCAUAAUAAAUGUUGUCACUUAUUAUGGAUCAGAGGGAGUACUACUUCUCUAUUUUGUAAACACCUCAGUCUGUUAUCGUGCAACCAAGCAGCUAAUGUCUCGCGGUAAUUAGAAAUAUGUUCUCGAUCCCAUUGAAAGCAUUCAGUCAUAGUUAUUUCAUUUUUUCCUCACUGUAGUCCAUAUACCACUCCAUGGAUCUCUCAGCAGUAAUAUUUUAUUGAGGAUAACCGAACUGUAGUUUGUUGGUGGCUAGUUUAAAAUGUUAAGAACAUGCUACUAUCACACAGCAAGAGAAAAUGAUGUACUGACAAAGCACCUAUGUUGCCCAAUGCAAUGUCAGCUGUACUUGCUCUUUUGAAAUGGGUAUAUGUACAAAUAAGAAGUAUGCAUGUCCUUCUAAUUACUCUUUUUGCAGUUUCUUUCUUUUCCUUGGUGGCAUUUUUGAGUUUCAGCUCAACACAUGGCCGUACUAGAUACAUGGUCUUUGCGCCUUUGUGUUUGCUAGCUGCUCACAAUACCUUCUGUUAGUAAGAAAGUUACCUCUUUCUACUUGGCGUGCUUCUAAAUAUUUAUGCUUUUCUCAUCAUUAUACAUAACUUUUGUCAUGUAGAAAUGAUUCUCACCUUUUCAGCUACCUGGUUAUACUAUGUUCAUGUGCAUUAUGCAUGGAAAACGCAUGGAAGUUGGUGUAACAUGUUUGUUACCUUCGCUUCGAGCUUUGAUCACGUUUCGAGCAUAGUACAUUACGUACAGAUACAGAUUUAGUAUGCCAAAUGUGUUCUAAAUCUGGGAAAAGCAUUAUGCAUCUUAUUUCAGUUUGCUAGUCGUGCAUAGAUGAUAUUCUAGGACUUUCAAGCAGAAAAUGACAGAAUUCUAAAUGGUCACAUAAUACAGUUGUCUUUCAGUUUCUUGCAGAUUGCUAAUUAGAACGGCAAGUGCCCCCUAGUUUCCAUUGCCAGUGAAAGGAAACACAGAUAUGUACAACAAAGGACAGACAGUGAUGUUCAAAAGAUUAAGUGGGAUUGGGGGUGUGUUCUACACAAUGAAAUGUAGAGCUGCACCGCAUGUUGUGGUCUUCAGCGUCGGGCUGCCUAGUACGGUAGAAAUCGAACAUCGAAGGGUCAUCUAGUGGAGCUGAUGUAACUAGAUAAUUUGCACAGUCUCAUGUAAUUUAUUACAUGUUGACAUAUUAAUUCCUUUAUUUUUGAUAUGCGCGCAUUGCCAUGUGUGCAUGGACACAUUGGAGUUCUUACUCAAGCCGUACGUGCAAAACUUGCAUUGUGUAAUCAGGCCAUCCUUAUACUAUUCUUACGGGCGUUAAACUUUUACGUCACCUCUGAAUUAUCUUAGCUUUAUUAAGUUGUAAUCAUUCUUAGCUUUAUUAAGUUGUAAUUUUUGUCUUUUAUCAAGUUUUUA